CCAAGUUGUCUCCUCAAAUUUAGCAUCCUCCACUUGGCUAUUCUGGAGGUCAUGUUGCUAAUCUCUUCAGGAAAUGUAGAUGCCAAUACAAGAUCACUGCUGGCAGCAGCACACAGGAGUCACGGCGAUGGGAUGUUGACAAUCACAUGGAGUGAGCUGGAGGUCAAGGAAGAAGUUUCCACUUUUCUACAGAAGGGUCCAGAUUGGAGUGUGCAUGUUAUAAGGCUGUGCAAAGAAGGAUUUGAACUCUCUUUUUGCUGACUGAACAUUUUCUGAAUCAAUGCUGAUGACAUCAUUGUCAUUUGCGUAUUCAGCCUCUCCUGGGGAGCUGAACACAGAGGAAACACUGAGAAAUGUUGCUGCUUUCAGAAGCAUCAAGAUGUACCUCCACAUAAAGCUUUGUGCCCUGCAACUAGCUGGCUUGUGGGACAGGAAUCCUUCUUCGUCUGGUGAGCGGCAUUCUGGGGUUCUGAAUCGCAUUUCUAGAAAACCAGUUGUCCCAGCAGAGAAGCCGCAGACUCUCCGGCACCUCUGUCUCCAGGGACCCGGAGUCCAGGGCUGCCCUCCAGCACUGACACUGGACUGUCAGUGGCUUUUUCUCCGUUGCUUUUUCUUUUUAAUUGAGUGCAGCCGUCACAAAGUAACAGCUUCCGGGAGGAUAGACAAAACAGUUUUGCUCAACACAAUGUAAGGUUUUUACGGGAAACGUUUGCUGUUUCAUGUGUACUUGAAUAAAAACAUAAUGAAUGUCUUUAUGAGUUAGCGAUAAGCAGCAUAGAAAGACGUUCAGAGUUGGAAGAAGUAUGAAGAACCAUGUAGCUCCACAGAUGAGGAAAGGCCUGUUGAGAAAUGGUCACCCAGUCUCUGCUGUGGAAGUACGUGUGUAUUAGGGAGUGUUGUAGCAGGAAAUAGAGGGCACACUCUGACAGGGUAGGCAGAAAGUGGCUGUUUACUAAAUUGUGGGCAGGCUUUUAAGGAAACCAGAAAGGAAUAGCGCAGGCCUUUAAGUCUAAUGGUAUCAGGGAGUCCCCAACCUUCCCUGUGCCUGAAAGGGCAGUGAGAGUGGGAGGCAGCGGUCCUGGAAGUCCGAGAGGGUCGCUGUGCCAGUGUGCUGGGCUGCUAUGACAAAAUACAAGAGAUGGGGCUGCUUGAACGGCAGCCUUUUGUUUCUCACACUUCUGGAGGCUGGAAAGCUCCAGCUCGAGGAGCUGGCAGAUCUGGUUGCAGCUGGCUCCCUGGUGAGGGUUGGCUUCCUGGACAGCGCCUUCUUCCCUCAUAUCCUCCCAUGGCUGAGUAAGACCAAGCUCCAGUAUGUCUUCCUCUUCCUAUAAAAAAGCUACUC